rnacentral:rRNA from 1 species
UACGAAGGGGGCUAGCGUUGUUCGGAAUCACUGGGCGUAAAGGGCGCGUAGGCGGCUUUAUAAGUCGGGGGUGAAAGCCUGUGGCUCAACCACAGAAUUGCCUUCGAUACUGUAGAGCUUGAGACCGGAAGAGGUAAGUGGAACUGCGAGUGUAGAGGUGAAAUUCGUAGAUAUUCGCAAGAACACCAGUGGCGAAGGCGGCUUACUGGUCCGGUUCUGACGCUCAUGCACGAAAGCGUGGGGAGCAAACAGG